rnacentral:miRNA from 1 species
UCUCUGGUCUUUCCUUGACAG